GUCUCCACCACCUCUGGACCCAAGACCAGGUUCCAGCUUCCAGUAGGUCAACCUCUCAGAAUUCCAGAGAGCAGGAACAGGAACAAAACUUAGUGAACAGAAACAGAGCUUAGUGAUCAUACCCUGGGGAGUAUAGUGAUUAUAGCAAUCCCCAGAGUGUAGUUCUCCAAUCCCCCAAACAUGAGCCGAAACUUCAUGAAGGUGCAAGAUGAUCUGACUCCAAUGAGCUUUUAC